rnacentral:snRNA from 1 species
UCCAACGUGGAUACCCUGGGAGGUCACUCUCCCCAGGCUCUGUCCAAGUGGCAUAGGGGAGCUUAGGGCUCUGCCCCAUGAUGUACAGUCCCUUUCCACAACGUUGAAGAUGAAGCUGGGCCUCGUGUCUGCGCCUGCAUAUUCCUACAGCUUCCCAG